UGUACACUCGACUGCCUGCUCUGUCCUGUUCUUUGUUACUGAAUAACUACAGCAGAAUACAGCUGCUCCUUACCCAGCUCAUUUUCUUCAGAGGCUGAGAAGAAUGCGCUCCAUGCUACCCAUACACAAUAGAAAAAUGUGACAUAGUGAAAUAAAUAUCCUGUUGCUCUUUUGUUUUCUUUUUCCAUCUUUCUCUCAGUCAUCCUCCUAUAGGGAAAAAAAAGUUCUGCCCCUGAGUACAGCAGCUACGUGGAGAAAAGUACUUUAAACACUCAUGGAUUUAGGAGAAAGGAAUCUAAGGAUCCCCCCAAAUUCUGCAAAUGCCCACACUGCUUGGCUAUGGGCUGCUUAGCACCUGUUUUGGCUUCUGAGGACCUCAGCCAUGGGAAAAAUCAGAUGUUGGACCAGGCCCUUCUUAACUUUGAUGUUUACAGUUGCAAAAGGGAUCUUGUUUAUAUCUCCUCAGAAGGAUUCAAUCUCGUGCAAAAGGAUUUGAUCUCCUUGGGAAAAGGAUCUAAACUCUGAUUUGAUGUAGUCUGUUUUCCCCUGACUUAGACAAUACAUAGUGUAUGCUAGAAAAAAGAUUUAUGCUAGAAAUAGACCUUGGAAAUAGUAGCUGUUCAACAACUAUGGAAGAAAGAAAGGAGCGUGGGAAUGGAAGAAUAAAGAAUGAAAGAGAAGACCAAUCUAAGAAAGAAAGGAAGGUAUUGUAAGGUUUUUUUAAUGACUUUUAAUAUAUUCAAGUAAAUUUCUGUCUCACAGAUUUGUUUUGUUUGGUUCACAAUGUUUUACAAAAUUAAAAAUAUGGCAAUUUCCGAUUAAAAUGGGGUUAUAAUCUUCUAAACAAUCAGAUCUGUUAGGCUAGGUCUUAACUUCCAAACCAUGUCAAUCAGGCAGAUCUGAAUGGGCAGCUUA